GGAGUAGCUCAGGGGUAGAGAGCAUGCUUAGCAUGCACGAGGUCCUGGGUUCAAUCCCCAGUACCUCCA
rnacentral:tRNA from 1 species